rnacentral:rRNA from 1 species
GACGAACGCUGGCGGCGUGCUUAACACAUGCAAGUCGAACGGAAAGGCCCUGCUUUUGUGGGGUGCUCGAGUGGCGAACGGGUGAGUAACACGUGAGUAACCUGCCCUUGACUUUGGGAUAACUUCAGGAAACUGGGGCUAAUACCGGAUAGGAGCUCCUGCUGCAUGGUGGGGGUUGGAAAGUUUCGGCGGUUGGGGAUGGACUCGCGGCUUAUCAGCUUGUUGGUGGGGUAGUGGCUUACCAAGGCUUUGACGGGUAGCCGGCCUGAGAGGGUGACCGGCCACAUUGGGACUGAGAUACGGCCCAGACUCCUGCGGGAGGCAGGAGUGGGGAAUAUUGCACAAUGGGCGGAAGCGUGAUGCAGCAACGCCGCGUGCGGGAUGACGGCCUUCGGGUUGUAAACCGCUUUCGCCUGUGACGAAGCGUGAGUGACGGUAAUGGGUAAAGAAGCACCGGCUAACUACGUG